CCCCCUGGAGGCCCCCCUGGUGGCCCCCCUGGUGGCCCCCAGCCUCCAGGCUCUGUGUUACGGCCCUGCGUUUGCUGGCGGCACACAGAGCUCCUCCUGCAGCUCCACAGCUCAGACGGCUGCUGCACAGACUGGGACUCUGAUCUUCAUGUUCAUUAUUAUAGUGGCGUUUAGUCGCACAGCUUUACUGACUCGCUCAUUCGUGGCUGUUUCCACGUUUUUACGCUGCUCAUGUUAGUCUGGAUGUUUCUGGAGCGCGAAGCUCCACGUCGUUCAGCUAAUAUAGUAACUUUAACAGAGACUCAGCGGGACGGAUCAUCCGGGAAACGAUGGACAGGGAGAGUCUGACURAAACCACCGUAAUGACGGACAAAGUCUGGGAUUCACUGAGUCUCUGCUUAAAAUAUCUGACUAGAACAGUUAAACUCAUUAUUAAGACAAAGAGCCGAAUUCAUAAAACCAGAAGGAAUUAUUAUUUUAAUGGCUGUAGACCGAGCCUGAAGACUGAAACAGAAUGAGAAAUACUCCAACAUCAUGGCCAUUCGGUCACCUACCGGUACCCUAACUGAACCUGCGAAAUUAAUUCUGCAUUCAAAACGUAUUUCUCUUCCCUUUACUCCUCUGAAGUAGUUCUGAAAGCUGAAAAUGUGAGCAUUUUUUCAGGAAUCUUCAGCUUCCUGCUGUUGCUGAUCAGGGAUCAGAAAAACUUCUGCAUUACGUUACAAGAGCUGAAAAAAGCCCAAAGUCUCUAUGAGGAAAGUGUUGGGAUCUGGGGUGCUGCUUGUUUUUGGCUGUGUUUCCCCCUUUCUCCACCAGAGGGCGGCUGGGAUCCAUUCUGGAAGGACGUGACUGACGGUGCUGGUUACCUACACACCUGCAGGUGAUCCAUUGUGACUGAUUCCCACUAGCAGUCUGAAUACUGACAGUCUCCCUGUGCUCCAUUCUUCUCAUGACGCCGUGGGCCUUACCCACUGGAAGCCCGAGUCCCACUUACCUCCAAGCCGUUGAACCAAACCUCUCUGGAUCCCUCUGUUGGCCCCUCUCUCCUGAAAGGCAGAACUGUUACCUGUCCGCCCUCCACCAUGAUCUCUCUCCUGUCGCUGUUCCCCGCCGGAUCACAGCCUACCUACCGUUGUUGAACGCCACCCCGGUAACCUCAGUAUUUCCCUCCUGCAUACUACUCCCUCCAUCCAACGUUCCUGAUUCCAGAAGCCACAAACUCUUGGAUCUGCAGUUUUGAUUAUUGUUUAUUUUUUUAUUGAACAUAUUUAACUAAUUUUCUGUUCUGCAUGUGGGUCAGAAAAACACAACAGACUGUGACAGAAGGGUAAAUGUGUCCCUCCAGAGUUGUACCUUGCCUUCUGGGAUAUACUCGGCCCACCAUUGUUGGACAUGGUUAAUGAGGCAGUUGAUAAAGGUUCAUUUAAUCCGAGUAUCAAUACCGCAAUGAUCACAUUGCUUCUCAAACCUAAUAAAGACCCAGCACCAUGCAGUAACUACAGACCCGUCCCUCUUAAAUGGGGAUGUCAAACUCUAUGCAAAAAUACAUGCAAUGCGACUUGAAAGCCAUUUAUCCAGACUGAUACAUAAUGAGCAGACCGGAUUUAUUAAAGGCAGAUUGGCAUCUGACAAGCUACGGCGCUUGCUACACAUUAUUCACGCAGCAAAGACAACUGAUUCCCCGUCCUGUCUUGUCUCUCGACGCCGUAAAAGCGUCUGACAGACUGGAGUGGCUUUAUCUUUGGGCCACCUUGGAUAAAUUUAAACUAGGUCUGCAAUUUAUCCAAAAGUAAAGGUUCUGUAUGCUGACCCGUCUGCGAUGGUGUGUACUGGUAAUACUUGUUCUUCUCUGCUCCCCAUACUAAGGGCCACAUGUCAGGGCUGCCCCCUCGAACCGCUGGUCCAUCGCACCGAGCAUCGCAUAUCUUUAUAUGCGGACGAUAUUUUACUUUACAUUGGUGACACAGGGUCCUCUUUAACACAUCUACUAUCCAUCUUUGAUCUGUUUGGCUCCAUAUCUGGCUAUAAAAUUAACUGGAGCAAGUCGUCAUUGCUGCCUCUUGCCAUCUGGCAUCCCAGUGGGGAGCCAUUUUAAAUAUCUUGGGAUCGACAUCUCUCCCUCUAUAUUUCUGAUAGCUUCACACAACUUCCAGCCUGCAUUUAGAAAAACCAUUACAGGCUGGACAUGAUGACCAAAUGUCUGAUUAAAACCUGCUCUGCCAGCUCAGUGACCUCUUUCUCACUGUUUAUUUAAUGUCAG